rnacentral:lncRNA from 1 species
CUAGGUACCACCUGCGUCCUUCUGGGACUUUGUAUUUACUUACAUUUUUGUAAAAUAUAUACAUUUUUUAUUUUUGAGAGACAGGAUGUCACUCUGUCACCCAGGCUGGAGUGCAGUGGCGGCAUCAUGGUUCACUUCAGCCCUGAACUCUUGGGCUCCAGUGAUCCUCCCACCUCGGUCUCCCAAGUGGCAAGGACAACAAAUGUGUGUCACCACGCCUGGCCAAUUUUAUAUAUUAUAUUAUAUUAUAUUAUAUUAUAUUAUAUUAUAUUAUAUUAUAUUAUAUUUAUUUUGAGACGGAGUCUCGCUCUGUCACCCAGGCUGGAGUGCAGUGGCACCAUAUCGGCUCCCUGCAACCUCAGCCUCCUGGGUUCAAGCAAUUCUCCUGCCUCAGCCUCCCGAGUAGCUGGGACUACAGGCACGUGCCACCACGCCUGGCUAAUUUUUUGCAUUUUCAGUAGAGAUGGGGUUUCACCGUGUUAGCCAGGAUGGUCUCGAUCUCCUGACCUCGUGAUCUGCCUGCCUCAGCCUCCCAAAGUGCUGGGAUUACAGGCGUGAGCCACAGUGCCUGGCCUGUAUUAUAUUUAUUUUGAGACAGGGUCUUACCCUGUCGCUCAGGCUGGAGUGCAGUGGUGCUAUCUCAGCUCACCGCAACCUCCUCCUCCCGGCUCAAGCUGAUCCUCCCGCCUCAGCCUCCCGAGUAUCUGGGACUACUUUUUGUAGAGAUGGCGUCUUGCUAUGUUGCCCAGGCUGGUCUCAAACUCUCGGUCUCAAGCUCCUGGGCUCAAGAGAUCCUCCCAUCUGGGCCUCCCAAAGUUCUUAGGAUUACAGACGUGAGCUACUGUGCCUGGCUAGGGAAUAUUUUUGAAAGUAGAGUUCUUGCAGGCUAAAGGAGCAGGCAGCACAGAUGAGAGGAGACAUCUGAGUUGCUUUAAAAGGAAGGGCAAAAUGUGGUGACCAGAGAGGAAAGUGAAAAGCUUUCCAGCAGGCUCACGGCAGGAAAGGAGGGUCAGGACAGGGAACUAUGUGUACAGAUAUUGAGGUACAAAUAAGGUAAUCCACCCGCCUUGGCCUCCCAAAGUGCUGGGAUUACAGGUGUGAGCCACCAUGCCCAGCCAGAAACUGCCACUUUUAAACCAUCAGAUCUCAUUGAGAACUCCCUCACUAUCACGAGAACCGCAUGAGGGAAACCACCCCCAUGAUCUGAUCACCUCCCACCAGGUCCUGCCCUCAACAUGUGGGGAUUACAAUUCAAGAUGAGAUUUGGGUCAGGAAACAGAGCCAAACCAUAUCAAGAGCCUCUGGUAACCACUGUUCUACUCAAUACUUCUAUGAGGUGAACUUCUUUGGAUUCCACAUAUGAUCAAGAUCAUGAGGAAGGAGGAGCAAGUCUUCUUUGUCAUGCUAUUAAGAAAAUACCCAGAGUCACAGCACCAUGAUCUCCUUGUGAAGCAGAACAAGUAAUAUAAAACUGAUCUAAAGAGGCCUCCCCUCUACUCUUAUCUGUCUGGUCGAGUCAUUUGGGUCCAAGUGGGCACCAUUGUGGGAGGGUGGGAGGACUCAUCACUGGGGGCCCAGGCAUCAUUGGCAUGUGGCCUCCUGUGUUAGUUUGUUCUCAUGCUGCAAAUAAAGACAACUUGAGACUGGAUAAUU